GGGAAGGAGGGAGGGAGAAGAGGCAGAGCUCAGAAGGGUGUGUUUUCUGUACCACUGCAGCAUCAGUGCAAAAAACGACAGGAGGAAAAGGCACGAGUCAGUGGACUGGACCGAGAAACAAUACAGAGCUAGAAGAAGAGCCACGGAGAGGAGCCUGAGAGGAGGAGACACAUCAAGAGGAGACACCUGCAGAGCCAGCUCCUGAAGAAGCGUUUGUGGAGCUGACGGAGCGAGGAGCGAGCCUCACUCACAGUUGGGCUGUAAAGGAAACAGACACACCCACCAACUUACUGCUGUUUACUCCUCUCAGCUCUCCCUCAGCUCCGGGCGGUCCCUGGAGUGUGUGUCUGCCUUGGUGUGCGUGGGUGUGUGUGUGUGUUUCUUUAUGUGUUGAUGAGUGUGUGGGUGUCUUGCAUCACUUUUGAUGGGACAUUGAAAGAUGUGUGUGUCACAGAGUCGGUGGAUGGGCUGCAGGGGGAUGUGCUCCCCCGCCCUCCCGCUGGUCCUCCUCCUCCUGCUCCCUCUGUCCUUCCUCUCCUCCACGCCUCCGUUUGCUCAGGGAGCCAUCCACAUCCCCGAAAGCUAUACAAAAGACAACAG